CAGGAACCCUAGCUACACUUUUGUAUGCCUUUUUUGAAAACAUUGAUUUUAACGUAAUUCUUUGCACGAAUGUAACCAAAGAUGUUUUGAAGUAACAUAAAAUUGUCAUAAAAUGAUAUUUUGUUUUAAACGGUACGUAUAAUGGAUGAAAUUAUAAGUUAUAAGAUGUGCGCAGUAAAAGUGCGCAAUGCAAAACUGCGGAAUUACCUUAAUAAAAAAUAAUA